rnacentral:rRNA from 1 species
UACGAAGGGGGGCUAGCGUUGUUCGGAAUCACUGGGCGUAAAGGGCGCGUAGGCGGCUUUAUAAGUCGGGGGGUGAAAGCCUGUGGCUCAACCACAGAAUUGCCUUCGAUACUGUAGAGCUUGAGACCGGAAGAGGUAAGUGGAACUGCGAGUGUAGAGGUGAAAAUUCGUAGAUAUUCGCAAGAACACCAGUGGCGAAGGCGGCUUACUGGUCCGGUUCUGACGCUGAGGCGCGAAAAGCGUGGGGGAGCAAACAGG